AUGUUGGGCAACUGGUCAGUUGGGCUUUGUGACUGCUUUGGAGAUUGCAGCAGCUGUUGCUUGACAUGUUGGUGCCCCUGCGUUACAUUUGGUCGCGUUGCUGAGAUUGUCGACGGAGGUUCAUCAUCAUGCUGCAUGCAUGGGACCCUAUAUGUUUUGCUAGGGUCUGUAGGCUGGAACUGGUUGUAUUCUUGUACCAGGCGCUCCUCAAUGCGGGCACAAUACAACUUGCUAGGGUCACCCUACAUGGACUGCCUUGUUCACCUGUGUUGUGAGAGGUGCGCGCUAUGCCAAGAGUACAAAGAGCUGGAAAAUCGCGGCUUCAACAUGUCUAAAGGUAUCAUUCUUUGCUGA
rnacentral:rRNA from 1 species